GCCUUCCCUCAGUCUUGGUUGUCUCUGAGAGCAUAAUGACAAUGAAGUGUAAGGUGAUUGGUAUGUUUGUUAAUUGCCAUUUGGUCCCUUGUAAGUUAUAAGUGACCUGUAUAAACCUCAUAUUCUAUCAGUUGAUGGUGGUGGUGUACUGCAUCUGGUGCAGCCUCCUGUUGAGCCAGACCAACAUGCAGUUGUGAGUAAUACUCCACAGAUUAUAUGAGUUUACAGUAGAACAGCAAUGUUGUUUAUUUCUUUACUACAGGAAAAUAAUGAAGAAACAUUGACAGCUGUUACAGAGGAGGAAGCAACAGAGACACUUUAUGAGAGUGAUGAUGGAAAUGAAGAGGAAGAGGGUCCAGCCACUUCUCCAACAAACCUUUCCUCACUCCCUGUAAAGCAGCUGUACAAAACCUAUUUGAUCAAGAAAAUAAAAAAAUGCGACUUGGAUUUGGAACACUUCAAGCAGCAGAUCCAAAAGACCAAGAUUGAGAUUUUACUGCUGGAACAUCAGUUAAGGGUGGGUGAAGUGGUCAGAGAUGGACGAAUUAUUUCAGUGUUUGAACAACAUAAUAAUAUACUUAUUAAUACUUUGUGUACAGGAAACACAGGUGACCAAUAAAGCCAGUUGAAC
ensembl:lncRNA